CCCUGCUGCUCUGUGCCAGUAGCACUUGCCAAGUUCUUCCAAACAGACUCCUGGGCAGGACAGUGACCAUGACACCAUUUCCUCACCUGGCGUGGCUUUGGAAGGAAAAAGCAAAUGACAUAGGUGGAUAUUGUCAAGACAGUUACAUGAGGAGUACAGUCUCUUACAGAUCCUAGAAUCCCCAGGAAUCCUGAUGACUCCCUCCCAACUGCUGCCAUUUGUGGUGCUAAUGAAGGACGGCACCUGACCCAACAAGAGCUCUCAGAAUCCCAGUCCUGUACUGCAGUCAUUCUAGGUUGCGGUUGUGACCAGUGGUCCUGUAGCAGUGACUGUGCAUGCUUGUAUUUCCCUUGGUUACUACCCGCUCAAGUCUCCCAUAUAAUCCAUCCGCUUUGCUUCCAAUAAAUUUUGUUUCUCUCUAGAAAUGAGAUUGGCUCUCCAGGAAAGCGGUGUUCUGUACCACCGAG
rnacentral:lncRNA from 1 species